rfam:Salmo salar isolate Sally breed double haploid chromosome ssa10, whole genome shotgun sequence.
AAUGCACCAAUUUGUAAGUCGCUCUGGAUAAGAGCGUCUGCAAAAUGACUAAAU